GAGUUUGAUCCUGGCUCAGAACGACGCUGGCGGCAUGCCUAACACAUGCAAGUCGAACGAGAUCUUCGGAUCUAGUGGCGCACGGGUGCGUAACGCGUGGGAAUCUGCCCCUUGCUUCGGAAUAACAGUGAGAAAUUGCUGCUAAUACCGGAUGAUGUCUUCGGACCAAAGAUUUAUCGGCAAGGGAUGAGCCCGCGUAGGAUUAGGUAGUUGGUGGGGUAAUGGCCUACCAAGCCGACGAUCCUUAGCUGGUCUGAGAGGAUGAUCAGCCACACUGGGACUGAGACACGGCCCAGACUCCUACGGGAGGCAGCAGUGGGGAAUAUUGGACAAUGGGGGAAACCCUGAUCCAGCAAUGCCGCGUGAGUGAUGAAGGCCUUAGGGUUGUAAAGCUCUUUUACCAGGGAUGAUAAUGACAGUACCUGGAGAAUAAGCUCCGGCUAACUCCGUA
rnacentral:rRNA from 1 species